GUGAUUGGCACAAUUUACAGGCGAUGUUGCAUAUUAUAGCGGGUUGGAAUGGGGAACAUGGAGAAUUUGAGAUGAAAGUAAAGAGAAGUUUGGCUUUAGUGAACAAAUCAAGUUCAAUGUUGAAAGAUGAGAUAUUGAUUCCAGGAUCAUGGUGGGUUGAAAAGAAUAAAGGAGUUGUUCUUGAUGAAGAUGGAGAAUGGAUUCUUGCACCACCA
rnacentral:misc_RNA from 1 species